GGGAAAGAGAAGAGAGAGGAAAGGAAGUAAGCAUGAAGAAACAUGUAGUAGUUAAUGUUAAAGCAAAAGCACGGGAAGUCUUCAAUAGGCGUAAAGAGAGGAGGUUAGAAGUGUUGAAGGGGGAACGAGAACACAUAGAAAGAGGACAACAAAUCAGGAGGGAGAAGGAGGAAAGACGGCUGGAGAUGGAAAGAAAACAGGAGAGGGCAAGACAACAAGAGGAGCAGGAUAAAAAACGAGAGAUUGAAAUUGCUAGACAGAAAGAAAUGUUGAGACUAAGAGAGGAGGAGAGGCAGAGAGAGGAAGAGAGAGAGGAGGAGAGAAAGAAAGCCAUUAAAUGCCUUUUAUCUUUAAUCAGAGAGAGAGAAGAAAUAAUACAGGCAAAAAAAAGAGAGGAGAUGGUGGAAGAGGAAAGAAGGGAGAUCCUUGAGUACAAGAGGGGUGAGUUAGAGGAGGAGGAGAAGGAAGAUGACAAGGAGGACAUUCUCUCACCCGAUAAAAGUAUCCGAAGGAGAGCCGUGGGCUGGGUGAAUAAAAAAUGGGAGAAGAGGAACCUCAGAAAGAUAGAGAGAACGUAUCAGAGAGAGGCUGAGGAGGGCCAUAAGAUCGUCCACAUAGCCAUCCCUGGACACACAAGGCUAACAUCCACCAUGACCCGGGCAGAGAGAGAGAGGGAGAAGAGGAAGGAGCUGCUGAAGGCUGAGGAGAGAAGGAAGAAGAUGGAGGAUUUCAAUAAGCAGUGGAGAGAGCGGUCCCUGCUUAAAAAACAGACUCAUCAACAACUGAAGGAGGAGAGGGAGAGGAUGAAGGAAAACUACCUGGAGCAGAUGAAUCUGGAGGCUGAUGCUCAAAUCAACAACCGGUGUCUAACCACCCAACACAGCCACGAUUACAACCACGGUCAGGAGUUGCCCUGCUGGGCCACAGGCCAACAAGUAAGCCAAGAGCCCACUGGAUCUGCUGAUGGCCACCAGGAAAGGCCAAGGAGGCAACAGGCAUGGGCAGAGAACCAGGAGGGGAGUUCAGAGAACCAGCAGGAGGGGCCAGAGAACCAUCAGGGGGGGCCAGACAGCCAGAAGCUAGAAGCUCCAGAAGAGGUUGAAACAUCAGAGCGAAUAUCCAAGACAAAGAAAAAGCCAAGCAUCUGGAAGAAAAUUAGGAUGAGUCAACAAGUGAUGAGCCAGAGCAACCAAUCAACGUCACUGCAGCUGUUCUACCCACCACCCCCACUGCUCUUCCUCCACCACCAACCUCAUCCUCUUCUCCUGUUCAACUAAUUUGCCGCCACACUAGAAAGGAAUGUACAUACAGUUGAAGUCAGUAGUUUACAUACACUUAGGUUGGAGUCAUUAAAACUCAUUUUUCAACCACUCCACAAAUUUCUUGUUAACAAACUAUAGUUUUGGUAAGUUGUUUAGGACAUCUACUUUGUGCAUGAAACAAGUUAUUUUUCCCCCAAAAAAGUACCGACAGAUUAUUUCACUGAUGAUUCACUGUAUCACAAUUUCAGUGGGUCAGAAGUUUACAUAAACUAAGUUGAAUAUUGCAUUUAAACAGCUUGGAAAAUUCCAGAAAAUGAUGUCAUGGCUUUAGAAGCUUCUGAUAGGCUAAUUGACAUCAUUUGAGGCAAUUGGAUGUGUACUGUGAGGUUCUGUGUUACACACUAUAGCCCUUACCAUGUCAUCAUAUGUGAUGGAAUACUAUUUGCUGUUGGCUUGUGUGGGUAUAUGUGUUAUGCAACAUAGCUGACUUGAGACAUUGUUAAGGCCUUUCUCGUGAUGGAAAAAUACAGAAUAACAUGAAGACAGGACCUGUGCAAUGAGUUGUGGGGGCACAUUCAGAACGUAGUGUUGGGAGAAAAAACAGUAUUUUGUUAGAUAACAGGGGCCAGGUGUGAGAUAACUGUAUUGAGUGUGUGAGCGCAUAGAUAUUCUACACAACUACAACGACUGACCACUGAAGCGCCAAGGAGGCUGGGACCAGCUCGUGCGCCAACAAUCAACGAUAGGCUGGGUGAGUUUAAACCACGCCCAGUCUCUAUUCUGACAGGCCGGCUCGGAAGCAGGAACUACUUCUGUCAAGAAUAUAUUAUAAUAUCUUUGUCAGGAACAAGUCAGUUCUCUGUUUGCCCUGCGAGGUGGGACAGAGAGCCCGUAUAUACAAAAAUUGCAUUUACCACUUAUUGCUUAGCUAAUAAAAAAUACAUAGUAUACAAUCGGUGACUCAAUGUCAUAUUUAUCCUGAUACCAGAUUCGAAUAGACGCAACCCUAACAGUACCUGUGGAUGUAUUUCAAGGCCUACCUUAAAACUCAGUGCCUCUUUGCUUGACGUCAUGGGAAAAUCAAAUGAAAUCAGCCAAGACCUCAGAAAAAAAAUUGUAGACCUCCACAAGUCUGGUUCAUCAUUGGAAGCAAGUUCCAAACCCCUGAAGGUACCACAUUCAUCUGUACAAACAAUAGUACGCAAGUAUAAACACCAUGGGACCACGCAGCUGUCAUACCGCUCAGGAAGGAGACGUGUUCUGUCUCCUAGAGAUGAACGUACUUUGGUGCAAAAAGUGCAAAUCAAUCCCAGAACAACAGCAAAGGACCUUGUGAAGUAGCUGGAGGAAACAGGUACAAAAAUAUCUUUAUCCACAGUAAAACGAGUCGACAUAACCUGAAAGGCCCUCAGCAAGGAAGAAGCCACUGCUCCAAAACCACCAUAGAAAAGCCAGACAACGGUUUGCAACUGCACAUGUAGACAAAGAUCGUACUUUUUGGAGAAAUGUCCUCUGGUCUGAUGAAACAAAAAAUGUUCUAAAAUUCACCAAAUUUAUUGUGGGAAGCUUGUGGAAGGCUACCUGAAACGUUUGACCCAAGUUAAACAAUUUAAAGGGAAUGCUACCAAAUACUAAUUUAGUGUAUUUAAACUUAUGACCCACUAGGAAUGUGAUGAAAGAAAUAAAAGCUUAAAUAAAUCAUUCUCUGUCCUAUUAUUCUGACAAUUCACAUUCUUAAAAGAAAGUGGUGAUCCUAACUGACCUAAGACAGGGAAUCUUUACUUGGAUUAAAUGUCAGGAAUUGUGAAAAACUCUGUUUAAAUGUAUUUGGCUAAGGUGUGUGUAAACUACCGACAUCAACUGUACAUACCCCUGUGCCCAUCUCAUUGCAAUAUGGUCCAUCCAGGGCCUCAGCUGGGCGCCUACAAUGUGAGAAAUGUAAACAAGAUGCUAUAAUAGUGUGUGUGUGGUUUGAGUUCCAAAAAAAGACAUGAGUGUGAUGUGCCCCUCUGUUUUAAUGUUGAAACGCCAUGAAUGGAAGAUGACAAAGGAGAUAGUGAUGAGGUUGAGAACAUCCAGUAUGAAAAUAAAGACCCCUUGGGAUCUAAAAUGAGUGUGGGGGCCCUCUUGUGUCUCCUUUCUGUCCGUUUGAGGAUACUACAGUCACCCCUGGUGGAGGAUCUUGGAACACUGCUAUUUAAGAGGUUGAUGAAAACCUUCAACGGUGGUGGUGCUAUGUUGCAUGUUAUCUUGAAUACCAAUCAGCAGUUUGAGGACAGAAUGAAAUGGUGUAAACUUAACAGGUUGAACUUGUUGAGGACACUCUUCUAAAAAGGGGUUCCAACAGGGUUCUAGGGUAGAACCCUCUGUGGAAAGGAGCCCAAAAGUGUUCUACCUCGGCACAGAAGGGGUUCUACCUGGAACCAAAAAGGGUUCUCCUAUGGAGACAGAGGAAUAAUCCUUUUAGGUUGUAGAAAGCACCUUGUUCUUAGUGUAGGUCUAUAUUGCAGUGGUGGUUCAGUGGUUUUCUGUAAUAAAAUAAAUGGUUCAUUGGUGGUGGGGAGUUAAGAUGAUCUGAAAUCAUAUGAAACAUCCCCACUUUUAGCCCACAUUUACAAGCAGG
rnacentral:lncRNA from 13 species